rnacentral:misc_RNA from 1 species
UCUUCUUUUGAUGAAGCAGUUGCAUUUGGGCGCGCGCACGUCCUUUUGAACGGCUCAAGCUUUACCCACCGCAGAUGAAGUCUUUCUGAGGGAACAUCGUUACCGAUGUAUUGCCGCGGUCAGCGACGAAACAAAUCUGCCAACAAAUUCAGCAGAAUAAACAAACCCUAGCGGCCGGGCUGAAGAAACCCGGCCAGUUAAGGUUUCGUUUACGAAAGCAGCGGCGACCACGCGGGGUCGGACGCGAAGCCCGGCGUCGGCACCUUCUGUUCGUUGCG